UACAGAGGUCCCAAGCGUUGUUCGGAUUCAUUGGGCGUAAAGGGUGCGUAGGCGGCGCGGUAAGUCGGGUGUGAAAUCUCGGGGCUUAACUCCGAAACUGUAUUCGAUACUGCCGUGCUUGAGGACUGGAGAGGAGACUGGAAUUUACGGUGUAGCGGUGAAAUGCGUAGAUAUCAGGAGGAACACCGGCGGCGAAGGCGGCACUCUGGGCCGGUACUGACGCUGAGGAGCGAAAGCGUGGGUAGCAAACAGG
rnacentral:rRNA from 1 species